GACGAACGCUGGCGGCGUGCUUAACACAUGCAAGUCGAACGGAAAGGCCCUGCUUUUGUGGGGUGCUCGAGUGGCGAACGGGUGAGUAACACGUGAGUAACCUGCCCUUGACUUUGGGAUAACUUCAGGAAACUGGGGCGAAUACCGGAUAGGAGCUCCUGCUGCAUGGUGUGGGUUGGAAAGUUUCGGUGGUUGGGGAUGGACUCGCGGCUUAUCAGCUUGUUGGUGAGGUAGUGGCUUACCAAGGCUUUGACGGGUAGCCGGCCUGAGAGGGUGACCGGCCACAUUGGGACUGAGAUAGGGGCCAGACUCCUACGGGAGGCAGCAGUGAGGAAUAUUGCACAAUGGGCGGAAGCCUGAUGCAGGAACGCCGCGUGCGGGAUGACGGCCUUCGGGUUGUAAACCGCUUUCGCCUGUGACGAAGCGUGAGUGACGGUAAUGGGUAAAGAAGCAACGGCUAACUACGUG
rnacentral:rRNA from 1 species